rfam:Neolecta irregularis DAH-3 scaffold_1610, whole genome shotgun sequence.
UGCGACAUGGACAAGUGGUUAAGUCGUCGGGCUCAUAACCCGAAGGUCGCUGGAUCGAAACCAGUUGUCGCAA